rnacentral:rRNA from 1 species
AGCGAACGCUGGCGGCAGGCCUAACGCAUGCAAGUCGAACGGACCCUUCGGGGUUAGUGGCGGACGGGUGAGUAACACGUGGGAACGUGCCUUUAGGUUCGGAAUAGCUCCUGGAAACGGGUGGUAAUGCCGAAUGUGCCCUUCGGGGGAAAGAUUUAUCGCCUUUAGAGCGGCCCGCGUCUGAUUAGCUAGUUGGUGAGGUAAUGGCUCACCAAGGCGACGAUCAGUAGCUGGUCUGAGAGGAUGACCAGCCACAUUGGGACUGAGACACGGCCCAAACUCCUACGGGAGGCAGCAGUGGGGAAUCUUGCGCAAUGGGCGAAAGCCUGACGCAGCCAUGCCGCGCGGAUGAUGAAGGUCUUAGGAUUGUAAAAUCCUUUCACCGGUGAAGAUAAUGACUGUAGCCGGAGAAGAAGCCCCGGCUAACUUCGUGCCAGCCGCCGCAGUAAUAC